rnacentral:rRNA from 1 species
AACGAACGCUGGCGGCGCGUUUUAAGCAUGCAAGUCGAACGGUAGAGGGAGCUUGCUCCCUUGAGAGUGGCGAACGGGUGAGUAACACGUGAGCAAUCUGCCCUUGACUCUGGGAUAAGCGCUGGAAACGGCGUCUAAUACUGGAUAUGAGCUGUGGCCGCAUGGUCGGCAGUUGGAAAGAAUUUCGGUCAAGGAUGAGCUCGCGGCCUAUCAGCUUGUUGGUGAGGUAAUGGCUCACCAAGGCGUCGACGGGUAGCCGGCCUGAGAGGGUGACCGGCCACACUGGGACUGAGACACGGCCCAGACUCCUACGGGUGGCUG